ensembl:miRNA
ACCGGAGGCACCCGCCCUCCUCCCGCGCCCAAACUUGGAGCACUUGACCUUUGGCUGUCGGAGGAGGCAGGCCGGCGGGU